GACAAAGAUCAGCUUUAUCUCCUGGGCAUCAUCCGGGACUGCCAGGAAGCUCGGCUCAGGGGGCUCCGAACCCUGAAGUACUCCAAGGAGGAGACGGCCAAAGCCAUUCUGGUGAGUGAUGGGUGGUGUGAGGGACCCCCAUGGGGAGGGAGGGGCAGAAAGGGGCUGGCGUUUGGAGUUGGAGCCGUCCUCUGGAGACUCCCGGAAGGAGCUGACUUUCCUCCUCUGCUCUCUUCUAGAAUAUCCUCGGCGACUUGGCGUACUUCAGGGAUCGCCCCCUGAGCCUGGCCCUGGCCUUCGAGGCCCUCCUGCAGUUGAGUUUUAUGAGACCCCACUUCAGUCCCUCUGUGGUCAGUGCGAUCCUCCAUAGAACAACAGAGGCAGUUCUGGGGAGCGCAGAGGAGGACAAAGAGGAACUGAAGAGGCCAUUCCAGAGCCUGCUGGGGGGUCUCCUCCUAGAAGCCCCCAAUAUUGGCACCCUUCUCCAAUUCCUUACC